AUUGGCCUCAGAAGCAUAGAAAUGCAGCAAUUGAAAAGCUAUUGACCUGGCAGUGAAUGGAAGAUAAUGGCAGGAGUGGUAGUCAUUCAAUCACUUGGUAGCAAAAUUGGUGCAAAAACAUUAAUCACCCUCAUAACUUGUACUGUGUUUGGUCUCUCACUCACUGCUGUAUUAUCUGGUUUCGUUCCACCAUUUACUGAAGAGCCAGAACUAUAAAUGUUGUGCAUGUUGUGGAUACAAGAGGAACAUAUGGUGAAAAACAAGAGCCUAGUUCUUAUUUUUCUCUGUUUUCAAUGACUCUUGGAAAGUUGACAUAGGAAGUUGAACAGAUUGGAGAAGGAUUUGUUUGCGGUAGAGAUAAGGUCCUUGACUUCGUUACCUUUCAGUAAAAUAUGGUUGCUUGACCAAUGAUAAUGUGCGAAGUGGGUGGAGCCAAUUAGAAAUUCCCACGCUGCAUGUCAAGAGCGAUAUAAGGAGGACGACAGAAUUACACAAAUUUUCAUCGAUACAAAAAGUUCCACACGCUGGACUCUUGCAAUCAAUACUUAGGAAAUAGAAGACUUCAAGUUUAAAGGUAUUGUAUAUACUAGUAAAAUUCUUUCUUUGUUCUUUGCCCACUGUUAAUUUUUAGAUUUUUUGUGUUAAUGACUGAAAUACCACCUGUUCUUUCCAAAACAUGCUUGGAGCCUCCUCAAUUCUCUGGAGUAAACAUUGCUAAUAGUUUUUUUGUGCAAAUACUUGGAAAAACCCUAAGUUUAACACAACUUAGACAGGAUUGUAGUUUUGGAUAAAUUGUGUUUAUUUUGACAUGACGAAUAGACUUAGUUCUUGAAUUUUCUGUAGCAUGCUCAAGUAACCAUUAAGUGACGCUCAAGUCUCCUCAAUUCAUGGUCCACUUGUCCAUUGAUUUUUAGUGGAUCAAAUGUGCCAAAUUUAUUCAAUCGACUCUUUUGAAUUCUUUAAUUAUUAGAUUUCAAUAUAUUUGGGAAAAAUACUAUUCAUAUCCCUGUUUUUAAGUGAUAUAUUUGCAUAAUGAGAAUUCAUGGAGUAGG